GAUAUAGCUCAGUUGGUAGAGUGCUUGCCUUGCAUGCACAAGACCCUGGGUUUGAUCCCCAUUACA
rnacentral:tRNA from 1 species